ensembl:lncRNA
CCCCUGCAGAGGGCCAGGCAACUGCUGGACUACUGCUAACUACUGAACGGUGCUUAACGACCACUGACCACUGGCUGGAAGGCCAACCAGAGAGCCCAGGGGAGCCGUCAGCGGCUAGGGGCCAAGAAGGGGCAGCCACUGCAAUCCCGCCCAGCGACAGAGGAAAAACCGCGGGAGGGUCUGCAGGCCCCACUGCCGGCUCAAGUCAGUCGUCUCCAGGCCGGGUGGAAAGAGAGGCCAGACAGGAGCCUGGACCUCUGCUGGGGAAGGACCGGGGACUGAGAGGACAGUGCUCAGCCUUGUCCUUGAAGGUCUAAUGAUUUUUGGCUGAAUACUGCACAUUCUGUAAAGACUCUGGAUUCUGUUGUCUUCCUCUGAAGACUGUUGGCUCUUCUUUUAGCAGCCAUUCGAUCACUGGACCUGUGUAGGCUUGUUUUCACGCUUUGUUGGUGUCGAUCUGUGGAACGCCCGGUGUUUCCAAAGCCCCUCAACUUGGUAAGAUUCAGCUUCAACCUGGUUCCCCUACGGCUCCUUGUGAGGCUCAUCUUUAUCUUUUCUUAGAUGGGCCUGGAGUAAGUUGUAGUCUUUUCUCCUAAAAAGUAAGUAAGAAGGUCUCUCCCCUCUGGCCAGGCCCACAUGCCAGUGCUGCCCAGCACAGCUGGUCUUGCAGCAUUUUUGUUCCCAUCUCAAUGCAUGGCAACCCCCAAGGAGUCCUGCCCUUGCAUGACCUCUUCCCCUGAGUGCAGAAGGGACCUGUGGCUUGCAUCUAGCCAACAGACUAUGGCCAAGGUGGUGAGCCAUCACUCCCCUGACUGGCCUACGUUGGCAGACUGGAACAAGAGACUCCCUCCUGGCCUUGAAGAAGUAAGCCACCAGGUUGUGAGAAGGCCUGUGAGGGGUCACGUGUCAGGCUGCAGGCAGCCUUUGAGAGCUGAGGGUGGCCCCUGGCUGUCCACCAAGAAAGCAGGGACCUCUGUCCUAUAGCCACAAGGAAACAGAUCAGCCAACAGCCACAUGACCUUAGAAGAGGACCCCAAGCCUCAGAAGAAACACUGACACCUUGUUUGCAUGCUUUUGAAACCCGCACCUGGACCCCUGACCCUGUAUGUUUUUAAGGCCACUAAAUUUGUGGCAAUUCGUUAUGCAGCCAUAGACAACUAGUGCACAGCCCACAGUGGCUGCUGUCUGGUAAGCCUCCAGUGGCCUCCCCUGACCCUCAGCCACAGACUGAGGGGACCCCAUAUGAACUUCCAGGCCCCUGAGCAGCUCCCCACCCUUCAGCUCCCCAGGACUCCACCCCCAGCCGCUGGGCUCACCUGCACACCAUGCUCUGCUGCAGCAGCGCGGCCAGAAGACUGUCCCCCGGGGCUGGCAUGCGUGGGCCCACCAGAGCUCCCUCCCCGUCCACCUUACCCUCUCCCCACUGGAGCGGCUGCUGCCGUCUUGGGUCCAGUGCCAGCGCUCUUUAUGGAAUAGGGAUGGCCUGCUAUUUGCCGCUUCUCCACGAUUAUCUGAAGGAAUUUAAACUUACAGAAAAGUUGCUGGAGUCGUACCAAGGACACUGCCUCGUGCCCUCCGUCCACACGCGCCGCUUCUUCCUCUUUGCUCCCUUGCCUUCCCCAUCCUCUUUCUCUGCGUGUGUCUGGUUAUAUUCUUUGUUCUGAACUGUUUGAGAAAAGGUUGCAUAAAUCAUUGCCUUUACUCCUUACUGCUUCAGUGUAUAAUUCCAGUGGGCACAGUACUUCUGCCUACAGUCCCUGUUCUGAGCGCGUCAGCUGUCCCAACCAGACUUUCGCAGCUCUAUUGUUUCCCAAUCCAGGGUCACAUGUCGGUUUCACUCAUCAAGCCUCUUAGUCUCCUUAAU